UACAGAGGUCGCAAGCGUUGUUCGGAUUCAUUGGGCGUAAAGGGUGCGUAGGUGGCGCCAUAAGUCAGGUGUGAAAUCUCGGGGCUCAACCUCGAAACUGCACUUGAUACUGUGGUGCUGGAGUACUGGAGAGGAGAUUGGAAUUUACGGUGUAGCAGUGAAAUGCGUAGAUAUCGUAAGGAAGACCAGUGGCGAAGGCGACUCUCUGGACAGUUACUGACACUGAGGCACGAAGGCCAGGGGAGCAAACGGG
rnacentral:rRNA from 1 species